UACAAGGUAGAUUCUAUUAGCAUAUGUAUUUUAUAGAUGAGGAAGCAGGCACAGAGACAUCAAGUGUCAUGCUUCAUUUUACAAAGCUGGAACAUGCUGGAGUCAGAACCCAACCAGGCAGUCUUGCUUCAGACUCUCCGCAUCUAUGACUCUGUAACCGUCAGUAGCUACUGCCUCCAUCUGCUUUCAUCACUGCAGAGGCAGACAACACCACCCUGCAAGAUAGUCGACUUUCAGACUUGAAGCCACAUCCAUUCUGCUAAAAUGCACAGAAAGAAAACCAGAAGAGAGACAGCAGCAAGAGCUGCAGGCGAGGCUGGGCAUGGAUUCCAGGGGAAGGAGAUGACAGUGGGAGGAAUGGCCAUCAUUCCAAAAGGGCUGGAUUGCACAGCAGGGCAGCAUCGCAAGAGUAGGAAGGGCUGUUCAACAAUGUGGCCUCCCCUGCAAGAGUCACACCUGUUAUUCAGCCUCUGCUUCAGCGUUCCAGAGAGGAGGCUCCCUGCUGCGGCAAAUCCCAAUGCUGGACAGCUCUGAGCAGAUGAUGGUUCUUCUUGGUGUUGGUUCUGAACCCUGCCCCUCUAUGUCCACCAGCCUUUCAUUCUAGAAGACACAACCGUCAACUCUGGGAAGACUCGGCAGGGGGCAUAUUUCUGAAAGUUCUAUUUCCACAGAUGGUGUGAAAUCAGCAAAGGAAAAUGCUGCUUCUGUCCAGACAGCUCUUCCACUCUUUAUUCUCACUCUAUGAGUCACUGGGUUGACUGUUGAUUUCGUUGCUGAACUGGGAUUCCUUAACUUGCGCAUUCAUUUAUUCAAUAAAUAUUUGUUUCAUGUUUACAAAAUAGUAAGUACUACACUCAACACUGGGCCUUCAGUGUGACAAGAGGCAUAGUCUCUGUCCUCAGGGACCUUGUGGCUUAAUGGGAUAUUAUAAAAAUAGUCACACAGUGAUUAUCACCGUGAUGAAAGUGCUGUGGGAGAAAAUACAGGGAGCUAUGUGAUUGUAGCAGACCAGCCUGGCCUGGGUGAUGAGGAAUGUCUCUUCUUGGGAAGUGACACAGAAGCUGGAGGACAGGAGCACGAGAGAUCAGUCCAAGUGGGCAGUGACGCUACAUCAUCAGAGCAAGGAGCACCCGCAAGUCCAGGAGGCAGGAGGGCCUCUGACCAGGUUGAGAAACAAAGAGGACACCAGCCUGGCUGUGGGUUUAGUGAGCAGCGCAGAUUGCAGAGGGCGAGGAGGUUGCAAUCACAGCAUCAGAGCAUGACCCGAAGAACAAAGGAGAGACAUUUAAAGAUUUAAAGCAGGC
rnacentral:lncRNA from 1 species